ensembl:miRNA Scarna3 small Cajal body-specific RNA 3
AGCGGUCCUACAUGAAUAUGGAGGUCUCUGUCUGACUUAGAAUAGUUGGCUAAGUCUGAUCGUUCACCUCCAUACAACUUUUAGACUGUC